GUUGGAUAUGGUGAUAUGACACCAUCAACAGUUGCAGGAAAAUUAGUAGCAACAGUAGCAAUAGCAUGUGGUGUACUUGUUCUUGCUUUACCUAUCACAAUUAUUGUAAGUUAU
rnacentral:sRNA from 14 species